rnacentral:rRNA from 1 species
GACGAACGCUGGCGGCGUGCUUAACACAUGCAAGUCGAACGGAAAGGCCCUGCUUUUGUGGGGUGCUCGAGUGGCGAACGGGUGAGUAACACGUGAGUAACCUGCCCUUGACUUUGGGAUAACUUCAGGAAACUGGGGCUAAUACCGGAUAGGAGCUCCUGCUGCAUGGUGUGGGUUGGAAAGUUUCGUCGGUUGGGGAUGGACUCGCGGCUUAUCAGCUUGUUGGUGGGGUAGUGGCUUACCAAGGCUUUGACGGGUAGCCGGCCUGAGAGGGUGACCGGCCAAAUUGGGACUGAGAUACGGCCAAGACUCCUACGGGAGGCAGCAGUGGGGAAUAUUGAACAAUGGGCGGAAGCCUGAUGAAGCAACGCCGCGUGCGGGAUGACGGCCUUCGGGUUGUAAACCGCUUUCGCCUGUGACGAAGCGUGAGUGACGGUAAUGGGUAAAGAAGCACCGGCUAACUACGUG